rnacentral:lncRNA from 1 species
AUCAGGUAUGAUAAGGGGUGCAAGAAUCUGUCAACUAAACACAACGUUGUUGUAAAGGAACAAUCUUAACAAUAAGUAAACCAUAUCGUAUAUAGUACUUUUUCAACAAUGUAGGGGAGGGUAGGUUACAUGGAGAUUGUGAGACGUCAGUUUGUGUUAAAAUGAACAGGAUGAUGCAUCUCGAUGAUUGCUAUUAUGUUUCUCCUUUCGCAUAAAACAAUGGAGCAUCAACAAGAGCUCAGACUGGUCACCACUUGUGUAAAUUUAAGACUCCUCAAAGGCCUCUCCAUGUAAAAGGAACAUAGUCAGAUAGCACACAAUUUAUGGGCCAAAAUAGGAAGGCAACUAAAUGUCUGAAGAUAACCUGUCCGAAGUUAGAACAGCGUGCUCCAAGACUCAAGUUCAAGGUAUAAAUCACGGAAAUAAGUAACAGCUAAAUUUCACAGCACUGACAAUAACACCCCAUAAAACCUGUGAAAAUCACACCAUCUUUCUCAUGCUUUGUUCUCCACCUGCCAGCUCCUCUUUGUCAAGUGAUUCCCACACAAGUAGAUCUCCUCGUCCCUGCCCCUUAUUGUUCCUCUCCAUAGCUCAGGACUCAUGGUUAUAGAGGAGAUCUUCUUCCUACCAUAUAUCUCAGAGGUCUCUUUUGUUGUAGGAUUAUGUGAUGCCAGCAUCAAAUGAGCAUAGAAAGGAUAGUCCAUGCCCAUGGAUGCUGGUUGAGAGAAGAAGGUUGCAAGAUAGAAAUCAUUCUAUUUUUAGCAAGGUCCAACUAAGAGAUACGCACAAAUUAUACUUACGCCAACACUGUGAAGACCAGAAUCGCCAACAAGAUAAUGCACAGCAUUCCCAGAUAAUGAAGUUGUACUGUCAAGGCUAAAUCAAACUUUUUUACGGUCAGGAGGUAAAAACAGCAACGUAAGAAUCAAGAAGCCAACAGAAGAGGGAUACAAUCCACAGCAAUAUGGUGAUAUCCUUGAGUGCGCCUAGAAACCCAAUGAAGGACCUGAACAUCAAGGACAAUGGCACCAGUAAAGAGAGGAAAGUAC